rnacentral:rRNA from 1 species
GUUGUCCCGGUGUAAGCAUGUAGCCCGUCUCUUAGUAAUAUUUUGAGGCUUUGGGUGAGAUGUGAUGCGGACCCGUAUGGGGAAGCAGGUGAUCCUAUGCUGCCAAGAAAAGCAUCGACGCGAGGUUUUAGCCGCCCGUACCCCAAACCAACUCAGGUGGUCAGGUAGAGAAUACUCAGGAGAUCGAGAGAUCAUGGUGAAGGAACUCGGCAAAAUGCCCCCGUAACUUCGGGAGAAGGGGGGCCAUCCACUUAUACGGAUUUACUCCGAAAAGGGUGUGGUGGCCGCAGAGACCAGUGGGGAACGACUGUUUACUAAAAACACAGGUCCGUGCUAACACGCAAGUGGACGUAUACGGACUGACGCCUGCCCGGUGCUGGAAGGUUAAGAGGAGAGGUUAGCGGUUUACCGCGAAGCUUUGAAUUUAAGCCCCAGUAAACGGCGGUGGUAACUAUAACCAUCCUAAGGUAGCGAAAUUCCUUGUCGGGUAAGUUCCGACCUGCACGAAUGGCGUAACGAUUCCCCAGCUGUCUCCACCAUGAACUCGGCGAAAUUGCACUACGAGUAAAGAUGCUCGUUACGCGCAGAAGGACGGAAAGACCCCGUGACCUUUACUACAGCUUGGUAUUGGUGUUCGGUGUGACUUGUGUAGGAUAGGUGGGAGACUGUGAAGCUGCAACGCUAGUUGUGGUGGAGUCAUUGUUGAAAUACCACUCUGGUCAUACUGGAUAUCUAACUACGGACCCUGAUCGGGUUCUGGGACAGUGCCUGGUGGGUAGUUUAACUGGGGCGGUUGCCUCCUAAAGAGUAACGGAGGCGCCCAAAGGUUCCCUCAACCUGGUUGGUAAUCAGGUGGCGAGUGUAAGUGCACAAGGGAGCUUGACUGUGAGACUGACAGGUCGAGCAGGGACGAAAGUCGGGACUAGUGAUCCGGCAGUGGCUUGUGGAAGCGCUGUCGCUCAACGGAUAAAAGGUACCUCGGGGAUAACAGGCUGAUCUUGCCCAAGAGUCCAUAUCGACGGCAUGGUUUGGCACCUCGAUGUCGGCUCGUCGCAUCCUGGGGCUGGAGUAGGUCCCAAGGGUUGGGCUGUUCGCCCAUUAAAGCGGUACGCGAGCUGGGUUUAGAACGUCGUGAGACAGUUCGGUCCCUAUCCUCUGCGCGCGUUGGAAAUUUGAGAGGAUCUGACCCUAGUACGAGAGGACCGGGUUGGACAGACCUCUGGUGUGCCAGUUGUUCUGCCAAGGGCAUGGCUGGUUGGCUACGUUUGGGAUGGAUAACCGCUGAAAGCAUCUAAGCGGGAAGCCGGCCUCAAGAUGAGAUUUCCAUGGACUUCGUGUCCGAGAGGCUCCCAGGAGAUUACUGGGUUGAUAGGCCAGAUGUGGAAGCACCGCAAGGUGUGGAGCUGACUGGUACUAAUAAGCCGAUGAC